GAUGAACGCUAGCUACAGGCUUAACACAUGCAAGUCGAGGGGCAGCAUGGUCUUAGCUUGCUAAGGCCGAUGGCGACCGGCGCACGGGUGAGUAACACGUAUCCAACCUGCCGUCUACUCUUGGACAGCCUUCUGCAAGGAAGAUUAAUACAAGAUGGCAUCAUGAGUCCGCUUGUUCACAUGAUUAAAGGUAUUCCGGUAGACGAUGGGGAUGCGUUCCAUUAGAUAGUAGGCGGGGUAACGGCCCACCUAGUCUUCGAUGGAUAGGGGUUCUGAGAGGAAGGUCCACCACAUUGGAGCUGAGACACGGUCCAAACUCCUACGGAAGGCAGGAGUGAGUAAGAUUGGUCAAUGGGCGCAGGCCUGAACCAGCCAAGUAGCGUGAAAGAGGACUGGCAUAUGGGUUGUAAACUUCUUGUAUGAAGGAAUAAAGUCGGGUAUGUAUACCCGUUUGCAUGUACUUUAUGAAUAAGGAUCGGCUAACUCCGUG
rnacentral:rRNA from 1 species